CUGAGCCGGCGCAUCACAGUGGGGGGACUGGGGGCUGGAAGGGGGGACCGGGGCCCAUCGGGAGUGCUGCCAAGGACCCCCCUCCAGCCCACAGUCCCCCCACUGUGAUGCGCCGGCUCAG
rnacentral:pre_miRNA from 1 species